AACGCACCUUGCACCCUUUGGUAUUCCGAAGAGUAUGCCUGUUUGAGUGUCAUUAAAUUCUCAACCAUGAUGGGGUUUUACUUCAUUUCAUGGCUUGGAUCUGAGGGUUGUGUCGGACUCCUGACGGAGGUCGACUCCCUUUAAAAGCAUUAGUGGGUUUGACCAUCGCGGAUACGCCUCGAUUUGAUAAUAUCUAUGUCGUCGCGCUGAAGCGGUAACCUGCUUCCUAACCGUCCCUCACACGGACAAUUUUUGACCAUUUGACCUCAAAUCAGGUAGGACUACCCGCUGAACUUAA
rnacentral:misc_RNA from 1 species